ACACGUACCAUCUCUCUCUCUCUCUGCUCUGUGAAGACCGACCGUCGGUCUGGCGAAGUCACCCGGCAGAGUCGGUAGUGUCCAGCGACUCUCCGACGCUCCUAGUCUUGCUAGCAAACACCCAUGCACCCAGCCCCCACCUUCAAACACACACCCAUGGUUCACUCUCUCUCUCUCUUUCUCCUCGUUUUUCCGGUGCCGCCGCUACGGCGGCGGUGAUGAAUGUGACGACGAUGAUGAUGACCCGAUGAUGAUGAGGAUGAUGAUAGACUGAUGAGGAUGACGGAGACGACACUUUGGUGGUGUUUUACGGUGGUGGUAUUUUUUUCUGGUGGUGUGGUCUCCGGUGAUGAUGACCAUGAUGUGAUGAUAAAGAUGUUGGUGACGGUGGUGGCCGACGGCGUCGCCGUCGGAGCCACGCCGACGCCAGCAGACGAUGGUGGUGGAUAUCUUGUACCAAGUUUCGGGUGUCGAUUCUAUAUGCAUGUUCGAGUCCAGGAUGAAAACUCGCUUAAUGAUAGUUUGGUUCAGUUUCGAGUGGUUUGAGUUUAGUCAACACGGGUCAAGGAUCGGUCAACUUAGUUUCGGGUCGAGUCAACUUGGUCAAACUCUGUCAAUGGCAGUCAACACAGUCAACUCAAAGACCCGGUACCGAGAUUUAAACGAUGCAAAAAUUCUGUUUAUAUUGUUAUAAAUUUUUAUUUAUACUCGACCCGAGCUCGAACCGAUUUGAUUAUUUGAUAUUUUGACGAAAACUAUAUAUCGUCGUUACAUUGCAUUGAAUUA